UGCGAAACUCGAAUGAACGAACGGGGAGAUUCAUCGUUAUUCCGCGGCGUGAAGUUGCACUCUCGAUUCAGCACAGCCGGCUUCGGUCGGCUUGUGCUGUACGUGGUGCGUCUUUUCAACGUUCACGGACGGCGUGCACUUCUCCCUUAGUACUGCAUCGCGACCCGUUCGAUGUCGGCCUAAGCUCCGUUCGGGAGUCACUGUUUCGUCAUCUCACGAUGCGAUGCGGUGACCGUGACGGUCGCCGGCCGGCUGUCGGACGGUAUCUGUAUAGGUGCGCGUACGCGUUUAUGCGCGUCCGGCCCGACGCAAGGCUAUCGUCGUUCUCCACCCCCGUCCUGCCCGUGUGCGUGCGGGGGUGCGGCGUGCCUGUUGUCGCAGCCGUGCUGUCUCGGACUGUACGCGUUCCGUGUCUGC
rnacentral:rRNA from 1 species